rnacentral:rRNA from 1 species
CAAUAGCGUAUAUUAAAGUUGUUGCAGUUAACAAGCUCGUAGUUGGAUUUGUGGUGUGUCCAGUCGGCCUUUGCUCUCUGAGUGAUUGUGCUGUACUGGUCUGCCAUGUUUGGGUGGAAUCUGUGUGGCAUUAAGUUGUCGUGCAGGGGAUGCCCAUCGUUUACUGUGAAAAAAUUAGAGUGUUCAAAGCAGGCUUAUGCCGUUGAAUAUAUUAGCAUGGAAUAAUGAUAUAGGACCUUGGUACUAUUUUGUUGGUUUGCGCACUAAGGUAAUGAUUAAGAGGGACAGUUGGGGGUAUUUGUAUUCCAUUGUCAGAGGUGAAAUUCUUAGAUUUUUGGAAGACAAACUACUGCGAAAGCAUUUACCAAGGAUGUUUUCAUUAA